rnacentral:tRNA from 1 species
GGAAUAUUAUCUGUUGAAGGGAACGGUCUUGAAAACCGUCAGGCGUGUAAAAGCGUGCGUGGGUUCGAAUCCCACAUCCUCCU